rnacentral:miRNA from 1 species
AGGAUUCUCAGGACUCGCUCUG